AGCCGCAGUGCCCGUCCUUACUGUCCAAUGAGUUCCAAAAAGCAAAUCAACUGAGUUAGAAACAUUUCACUGAGUAGAGUGCAUGACUCAGGGUAAAGUUAUGACCCGAGUUUUCCACUCUCCUUUUGAGAUCCAUUCGCUAGUCAAAAAGCAACACACUCAGAAACAGCAUGCCGUUUUCAUGCCUUGUCCGUGCGGGCAGUUUUUAAAGCUCCCAAUUCACAGACCAGGCCAGAGAAAACAUCAUCACAAGAGAAAGUACAAGCCCUCAGCCAACUCCAGAACUGCUGGGUGUGGUUCCUUUGCGGUGAUGAUGAGAAAGCAAAGGAACAACGAGCAGUACCACACGAACUAAAAGAACGUCCCAACAGAAAACUCGGGCCGCAUCUGUUAUCUCCUCGUGGCCAUGCAGCGUGGGCUCAAGACCAGCUUUCUCAAUGCUUGUGGUGGGGCCUCAAGGUCGUCAGGAUGGAAAGGGAGCGCCCAGCUCCGAAGCGUCGCGUCCUCCACGGCCUUCCUACCGGCGGGACGGGGAAAGCAUCCGCCUUCCCGCUCCCUCGGCGUCGGCCAGGCCGGAGCCACCCGGCGCCCGGCUCCCGGCUCCCGGCCCCCGAGCGUGCGAAGCGCUCGGGCGGGAAAGGGGCCGAAGCCCCCGCGCGCCGGGCUCUGCCCAGAGCCGGGCUGAAGCCUCCGGACCCGCCCCAGGGGUGCGGGGCGCGCCAGACCCGCAGCAACAGCCCAGGGGAGCACUAGCGCCCUCCCCCGGCGCAGGGCACGACCCCCGACGGCGGCCGCUCGCUCCCAGCCGGGGGCCGAGUAAGACGCCGCCCGCGCCCGACCGACCGGGCCCAGCGAGCAGCCCCCGGCUCCGCAUUCAGGAACAUACGGUCCCAGCCCCGGGACAAGGAAGAACGGCGGCGCGGUCGGGCGGUCCCCUCCGAGUUCUAGCAGGAAGGGCGGCGGGGGUGGCCACACAGUGGGCCCGGGGGCAGGGGGGGAUGAUUAGGCGCCUCACCUGCUCCUCCCGAGGCAGCCGCUACCGCUCGAUGAGGAGACAACAUGGAGCCUCCGCCCUUAGCAGAAGCAGCAGGGCUCAGAGAGGGAAGGGCUUGGGCGGGAACAAACUUGGCCUUGGAGGCGGGAAACAGGCGGGGCCUGGGCUCUGGGAGAAACUGGAGAGACGGAGGGGAGCGCGGAACUGCGAGGGAGCGAGCACAGGGCGGGUGGGCGAGGCCUGACGGGCGGCUGCGGGCGCGGCGAGCCCUGGAUGAGCUGGAGCGGAAAAGCGCAUGCGGCCGAAUCCCGCCACCGCCCCGACCUGUGCGCGCCUGCGCGGGAGCGCGGAGCGCGCCGCCGUCUACCUGGGUCUGCGCACUGGGGCCAGCGGUCCGUUGGGAAUUGUAGUCCUAUGCUCUCUGGGUCCCCGCCAGGGCUCCUGGUUCUGCGCACUCAUCCCGGGCGGGAAGGAAGCAGAAGAAGGGGGAUGGACUUCUCUGGGCUUUUCGACAACUGAACUACAACUCCCAGCAGGCCUUGCGGGGAGGUGAGGGCCGGCCGGGGCGGGAGCCCGCCUGCGAGUCCCGCCUGGAGACCCGGCCCGGGACCCAGCCCUUGGGCUAACCGGCGUCGAGCCCCCGUCGGCCCGGCGUUGGAGACGGUUUCGGUGUUUAACUCUGCUCGGGGCCACAGGUGGGCGGCACUCUGCCCUAAGGACCGGAAGACGGCCUUAACCCAGGGUGACGUGAGCGGCACCGGUUUUUCAACGAUUUUGACUUCACAAGGGGAGGAGGCUGUGACUUCGUUACCAGCUUCCCCCAUUUUCCCGUCCCGGGCCGAGCCCGACGGUGCAGCAUCCCCACUCUAAGAGCUAAUGUGAGCGGUGAAACCCUUCCACCGGCCUUGUCCAGCCUCAGCCACGGCCAUCUUUUGUUAACCUCAGGUUUACAGGCGCUUUUCUGAAGCUGCUUUGCAAGCACAUCCUUAAACUGGUAAAUCAACGCAAAACAAGCUUCUCCGAACGUGCUUUUAUUCACACUUCACAUAGGAUUGCGGAAAUGUCCGUUGCCACAAUUGAAUAAAUAGUGUUGUUAUUUUGGA